GCUUGUGUCAAAUCUGCUGAAGGUGAUAAACUUCUGUCACAGCGGCCAUUACUGAUGACAUCAUCAGGAAACAGCAGGAAGAAGUGGGAGCUCCUUGUGUUAGCUCCAGCGGUGCUGACAGCGAGGAGCUGCCCAGUGCUGUCACUGUCAGCCCGGAGAACAUGAGCGCUGCUGCCGCGUCAUCCACCAGAAAUGCAGGUCCAGAUGUGAGAACACGACAGCUGUGAGUUACAGGACACAAAGACGACGGACGGACGGACGGAAGACGUUUCAUAUUCACGUACGAUAUGAAGGAGGCCGAAUAUUCUGCUGAGAGAAGGUGAAUAACUCUAAAACACAGAGAAAGAAACACAUCAGGUUACAGAAGUCUGUGUGUGUGUGUGUGUGUGUGUGUGUGUGUGUGUGUGUGUGUGUGUGUGUGUUGUUGACAUUCAUGCAGAGACGACAGACAAGCUGCUGCCUGUCUGUCUCUGCUGCGGGGAAAAACACACUCACAGGUUACCGAACA